rnacentral:rRNA from 1 species
UGGGGAAUAUUGGACAAUGGGCGAAAGCCUGAUCCAGCCAUGUCGCGUGUGUGAAGAAGGUCUUCGGAUUGUAAAGCACUUUAAGUUGGGAGGAAGGGCAUUAACCUAAUACGUUAGUGUUUUGACGUUACCGACAGAAUAAGCACCGGCUAACUCUGUGCCAGCAGCCGCGGUAAUACAGAGGGUGCAAGCGUUAAUCGGAAUUACUGGGCGUAAAGCGCGCGUAGGUGGUUUGUUAAGUUGGAUGUGAAAGCCCCGGGCUCAACCUGGGAACUGCAUCCAAAACUGGCAAGCUAGAGUACGGUAGAGGGUGGUGGAAUUUCCUGUGUAGCGGUGAAAUGCGUAGAUAUAGGAAGGAACACCAGUGGCGAAGGCGACCACCUGGACUGAUACUGACACUGAGGUGCGAAAGCGUGGGGAGCAAACA